CCGCAGACAUCAUUUCUACUACAGUGGAGGAGCCGUACAGGACCUGUUUCACUGCAGGGGGAUCCAAAACAAGCCCUGUGGAGCCGCAGCUAGAGCUACAGCAGCCGCAGGACACUGUGUCUCUCCCUCUGUCCCCCCUUCCCCACGCAACCCCAGAUCCAUUUACACUUUACAAAGCAUCCUGCACUGUGCAACAAGUCACGAGGGCGGUCCUUUCAAGCUGCAAAUCUGUCUGUCAUCCCUAUCCAACAGUCUCUUCCUCCACUCCCUCCGCAGGGAAGGGCGUCACAUGUCAGAUUGCAGCGUCCUGGAACAGAAUCAAAGGAUCUGUGUUCAAACGGCAAAAGUAAGGUUGCAGUAGACCCUGAGCAAAACAGAGUGGACUCCAGCCUGCACGAAUGAGCUUGAAACAGGAAUGGUUUGUGGUUCAGGCCUCUUACACUGAGUUUCUCUACUGCCACCCUUUCUACUCAAGCAAAAUCUUCAAGAGAGCCUCUCCCGGGAAGGAAGCAGCUGCUUGUGGCUUUGCACUG